AGCAGUCGCCACGGUAAUACGUAGGGUGCGAGCGUUAAUCGGAAUUACUGGGCGUAAAGCGUGCGCAGGCGGUUCGUUAAGACAGAUGUGAAAUCCCCGGGCUUAACCUGGGAACUGCAUUUGUGACUGGCGAGCUAGAGUAUGGCAGAGGGGGUAGAAUUCCACGUGUAGCAGUGAAAUGCGUAGAGAUGUGGAGGAAUACCGAUGGCGAAGGCAGCCCCCUGGGCCAAUACUGACGCUCAUGCACGAAAGCGUGGGGAGCAAACAGGAUUAGAUACCCCUGUAGUCCCUGUCUCUUAUACC
rnacentral:rRNA from 1 species